rnacentral:rRNA from 1 species
CCUACGGAUGGCAGCAGUGGGGAAUAUUGGGCAAUGGAGGCAACUCUGACCCAGCAACGCCGCGUGAAUGAUGAAGGUCUUCGGAUUGUAAAGUUCUGUUAUGGGGGAUGAACACAAUGACGGUACCCCAAUAGCAAGCCACGGCUAACUACGUGCCAGCAGCCGCGGUAAUACGUAGGUGGCAAGCGUUAUCCGGAAUGACUGGGCGGAAAGGGUGCGUAGGUGGUGUAGUAAGUUGGCGGUGUAAUUCCGGGGCUCAACCCCGGCGCUACCGCCAAAACUAUUAGACUAGAGUGCAGGGGGGGUAAGUGGAAUUCCUAGUGUAGCGGUGGAAUGCGUAGAUAUUAGGAGGAACAUCAGGGGCGAAGGCGACUUACUGGACUGUAACUGACACUGAGGCACGAAAGCGUGGGGAGCAAACAGGAUUAGAUACCCGUGUAGUC